CGAAUGGCGUAAUGAUGGCCAGGCUGUCUCCACCCGAGACUCAGUGAAAUUGAACUCGCUGUGAAGAUGCAGUGUACCCGCGGCAAGACGGAAAGACCCCGUGAACCUUUACUAUAGCUUGACACUGAACAUUGAGCCUUGAUGUGUAGGAUAGGUGGGAGGCUUUGAAGUGUGGACGCCAGUCUGCAUGGAGCCGACCUUGAAAUACCACCCUUUAAUGUUUGAUGUUCUAACGUGGACCCGUUACCCGGGUUGCGGACAGUGUCUGGUGGGUAGUUUGACUGGGGCGGUCUCCUCCUAAAGAGUAACGGAGGAGCACGAAGGUUGGCUAAUCCUGGUCGGACAUCAGGAGGUUAGUGCAAUGGCAUAAGCCAGCUUGACUGCGAGCGUGACGGCGCGAGCAGGUGCGAAAGCAGGUCAUAGUGAUCCGGUGGUUCUGAAUGGAAGGGCCAUCGCUCAACGGAUAAAAGGUACUCCGGGGAUAACAGGCUGAUACCGCCCAAGAGUUCAUAUCGACGGCGGUGUUUGGCACCUCGAUGUCGGCUCAUCACAUCCUGGGGCUGAAGUAGGUCCCAAGGGUAUGGCUGUUCGCCAUUUAAAGUGGUACGCGAGCUGGGUUUAGAACGUCGUGAGACAGUUCGGUCCCUAUCUGCCGUGGGCGCUGGAGAACUGAGGGGGGCUGCUCCUAGUACGAGAGGACCGGAGUGGACGCAUCACUGGUGUUCGGGUUGUCAUGCCAAUGGCACUGCCCGGUAGCUAAAUGCGGAAGAGAUAAGUGCUGAAAGCAUCUAAGCACGAAACUUGCCCCGA
rnacentral:rRNA from 1 species